rnacentral:misc_RNA from 2 species
AACGCACCUUGCGCUCUUUGGUAUUCCGAAGAGCAUGCCUGUUUGAGUGUCAUGAAAUUCUCAACCUCUCAAGCUUUUUGAGCAUGAUGAGGCUUGGACUUGGGGGUUGCUGGCCUUUGUUGGUCGGCUCCUCUUGAAUGCAUUAGCUGGACUUUUCUGAUCACAGAGUGGUUCACGGUGUGAUAAUUAUCUACGCCAUGGUAAGCCCAUCUCUGAGUUCUGGUCGAGCUCAUAAACUGUCUUAGGACACUUUUCAAAUCUGACCUCAAAUCAGGUAGGACUACCCGCUGAACUUAA